UAAUAUAUAUAUUGACAUGGAUUAAACAAAGAUAUAUAUUAUUCUAUGUUGUAUAGAACAAAUUGGCAAAAUAGAGAUGGAAGAUAAAAAUAUGGUCAAAGUAAUAAGAGUCUAUGGUGAAUGCCUAGGAGCUUUAAGGCGAAGAAGGUCGUGGUAAGCUGCGAAAAGCUUGGGGGAGAAGCAAACAUUUAUUGAUCCCAAGAUUACCGAAUGGAGUAAUCCAGCUAGCAAGAUGCUAGCUAUCUAUUAUCUAAAUAAUAGAGGCGAUACCAGGGGAAGUGAACCAUCUAAGUACCCUG
rnacentral:misc_RNA from 1 species